CCUACGGGUGGCAGCAGUGAGGAAUAUUGGUCAAUGGACGAGAGUCUGAACCAGCCAAGUAGCGUGAAGGAUGACUGCCCUAUGGGUUGUAAACUUCUUUUAUAUGGGAAUAAAAUGUUCCACGUGUGGGAUUUUGUAUGUACCAUAUGAAUAAGGAUCGGCUAACUCCGUGCCAGCAGCCGCGGUAAUACGGAGGAUCCGAGCGUUAUCCGGAUUUAUUGGGUUUAAAGGGAGCGUAGGUGGAUUGUUAAGUCAGUUGUGAAAGUUUGCGGCUCAACCGUAAAAUUGCAGUUGAAACUGGCAGUCUUGAGGACAGUAGAGGUGGGCGGAAUUCGUGGUGUAGCGGUGAAAUGCUGAGAUAUCACGAAGAACUCCGAUUGCGAAGGCAGUUCACUGGACUGAAACUGACACGGAGGCUCGAAAGUGUGGGUAUCAAACAGGAUUAGAUACCCGUGUAGUC
rnacentral:rRNA from 1 species